rnacentral:rRNA from 1 species
UUAUCUCCCCCAAGAGUUCACAUCGACGGGGAGGUUUGGCACCUCGAUGUCGGCUCAUCGCAUCCUGGGGCUGUAGUCGGUCCCAAGGGUUGGGCUGUUCGCCCAUUAAAGCGGUACGCGAGCUGGGUUCAGAACGUCGUGAGACAGUUCGGUCCCUAUCCGUCGUGGGCGUAGGAAAUUUGAGAGGAGCUGUCCUUAGUACGAGAGGACCGGGAUGGACAUACCUCUGGUGUACCAGUUGUCGUGCCAACGGCAUAGCUGGGUAGCUAUGUGUGGACGGGAUAAGUGCUGAAAGCAUCUAAGCAUGAAGCCCCCCUCAAGAUGAGAUUUCCCAACUUCGGUUAUAAGAUUCCUCAAAGAUGAUGAGGUUAAUAGGUUCGAUGUGGAAGCAUGGUGACAUGUGGAGCUGACGAAUACUAAUCGAUCGAAGACUUAAUCAAAA